CUUUCCCACCCGCCAACAGCAUCAGCUGCAGCUUCUUAUCAGCUCUGGGCGCAAUCCAGGCUGGAACCGAGCGAGAGGUUUCUGCUGGUGCCAGUGGAGGAGUGUUUGGAACAGGCAGACCUUGUGCUGCAGCUCCUGGUGUGGAGCAGCAGGUGAUUUGUGCCGCAGAGGGAAAGUGGGACCUCUCCAGGGCUGCCCUGUGAGCCAGCUGGUGGGCCUCUUUGGAUUUGUUGGUGGACUGCUUGGCCAGCUUGGCCAGGCUCUCCCUGUGCUCUCUUGUGACCCUAGGAGAGAGGAGAGGAAAAACACUGAAAGGAAAAGCAGCGUCAUAUGUAGCACAGCCAGAUUUAUUUCUUGUGAAGGACUCUGGGUAAAUGAGUGAUCCUCUCCAACUGGUGCAGUCCUGCCCAGGGACACACAAAAGCUGCUGGUUGUAGAUGGAGCUGGCUCUGUGUGGAGACACUGUGUCUCAGGGCAGAGGGACUGAGCAUCUCAGGGCACGUUUUUGUUCUGCUUUGGUCCACCUGAGAAAACCUGCCAGCUCUGCACAGCAUCCCAGGGAAGCAAGUCUUGAGCUAGAAUGGAAAAUUUCCAGCUCAGCCCUAAGCUGGGGAUCUUGGACUGAAUCUUGCUUUAUAGUUGUUGCUGCAGUGCCUGAAAAGUCAUCUUGAAAUGUUCAGACUUUCCUUACUUCCUGCUGCCAAAGCAUGUGUGGGAAAAGAGGAAAAAUCCAGCUCCAGACUUGAAAGAUGGAACUGAAAAGUGUCAUCCUGAAAAGCACAAAACUGCAAAGCCAGGAGGAAAUGUCUGCUCCUGAAACUCGGAUUUACCUCCCUGCAGCUGAGGAGCCUGAGUUAUGUACCUGGAGGCUGAGGAGCUCAUCUUUCACUCAGCCUUAUUGCAGCUCGCCAUGACCAGGAUUUCCCACCAAGAUGAUAGGAACACCUGGGUUAAGAGGAUGCUGCUGGACACGGUAAGCCACAGCUCUUGGAGCUUCCAGACUGCCUGGAGAAGGAAAAACCCCCGGUGCACUCUCUGAGACUCACUAGCAGGAGAAUGUGUGGGGGUGAUACUGCAAAAUAAACACUUCACAGGAGUAUUUAGAAAUUGGCUGCAGCAGCCUGGGUCACCAAACCCCUGGGGCCUGGACUCUUUCCACAGAGAGCUCAGGAAAUGUGGGGUGAGAGUCCCUGGGCUCUGCCCCGCAGUGGGUGUGGGUUAUGGGGGCUCUGGGGGCACACUUGGAUCCUCAGCCCGUCCCCACAGCCACAUCUCUGGCAGCCAUCCCCAUCUGAGUGCCAGAGGGAAGAGGAUUCCCAGAACCAGUUAGUAUUUACAGGAAUUUGGGAUGGCCAGGAGAGCUGGCAGAGCCAGAGAGCAGCACCCUGGCACCCAGGGCACCCCGGCCUAUCCCCUCCCUGCCGAGGGAGUUGGCCAAGGAAUGUCACCUGGAAUCUCUGAAUGGCCAAUGGAAUGUCACCUGGAAUCUCAGAACACCCUGAGCUGGAAGGGUUGUCCUGUGCAGGGCCAGAAGCUGCACUGGACAACCUCAAAAUCCCACCCAGUUUGUCCAAAGGCUCCUGGAGCUCUGGCAGCCCUGGGGCCGUGCCCGUUCCCUAGGGAGUCUGGGCAGUGCCCAGCACCCUCUGAGGGAAGAACCUUUCCCUGAUCUCCAGCCUAACUCACCACAUGUGGCAGGAGGCUUCUGGUCAGCACAGGCUGGAGCCUGGCCCAAACGCCCGUCCAGGGGGGAGCAGGGACCCUCGUGGUUCCCCUGCACCCCAACAUCGAAGCCUCUGGGGCUCCUCACCUCCAGCCAGAGCCCUGCAGCACAUCUGGGACCCCCAACGCCAGCCCACAGGCACAGGUCUGCGUGAGGCCCCCUUCUCGGGCAGCUGUUUGGGGGAAACGCGGGGAGUCAGUGCUGGCUGCUCAGCCCGGAGGAGGGAGCUGGGAAUCUCUCCGGUGUGCCGCCGGGUGGAGGGAGCUGCUCGGCCCCGGGAGCCCCAGGCUGUGCCGAGGGUAUCGCUCGCCUGCCCGGGGCUGCCGAGCCUUGAAGGAAAUGUUUUUGUUUAUGCAGCGCUGCCAGAUUUCCUCUGCUUCUUGGCACCGGGUCACAGCUUUUCAUGCCUCCUUGUCUGUCUUUAUUAACACCAAUUUCUUUUUAUCACCGCGCAGUGCCGGGGAGUUUCUCAGCGGGUUUUAUGUUCCAGCCAGGCUCUGUGUAAAUUCUCAGCAAUGCUACCAAUAAUGCCAGAAAUGGAGACUUUUCCAAGCAGAUGCUGUUUCUGGUUAAGGAAUCCAUCAACGCGAGCCAGGCCCGAGGUUUCUAAGGACAGUUGUUUUAAUCCUGCCCCGAGAUCUGGGAUUUUUAAGCUGUUCUUAGCCCCAGGGGUUUAAGCACUGCAGCCCUCGAUGUCCCACCCCUGAGUGUGGCAGAGCAGACCCUCGGAGAGGGCGACCCAGCUCGGCUCAACACGAGACAUUUCUCAGGAGUGCUGCAGCCAGCUAGGACCAAGCUUCCUCUGCAGAGGGAAGAUGAAAAAUAAGACCAAUCAUCGGAUGCCAAGAUGUGGUGACUUAGAGCUCCAACACUCCAAAGAGGUUUCACAAGACGCUUCUAAGGGCUCAGAUUUUCCCCCAAACCCCACCUCCAGCUCUUUGGAAAGCAGCUGCGUGGGGAGGUACAGCAAUGGUGCACGUUCACCCUCUGAAGGGCACCCACUGCCCUGCUCUGUGUUAUCCUGCACGACGAUGAGCUCAGGCAUCCGUACUCACUUGGGAACUGGCACCCGAAUCACCGUCCCGUCCACCUCUGGGUUCAGGUUCAUGCCACUCUCCCUUAUUGCCUUUGCAGCUGCAGCUGUGCUCUGUAAAACAGAUCAAAAGGUACAGGGAAUUAGGAAAUAAUCAUUCCCAUAUGCCAGAACUCUGUCAAUAGUUGGCAAUCCAUCUCCAUGGAACAUGGAAACAUUUACUUCUGUUACCAGUAAGAUCAGGAAGUUACAUUGGUGCAGAGAGCUUUGAUCAAACCGAAUGGGAAACUAUGGCCACUCGU